rnacentral:tRNA from 1 species
GCCUGGGUGGCUCAGUCGGUUGAGCGUCCGACUUCGGCUCGGGUCAUGAUCUCACGGCUCGGGAGUUCGAGCCCCACAUCGGGCU